UACGUAGGCAGCGAGCGUUGUUCGGAAUUACUGGGCGUAAAGAGUGUGUAGGCGGUGCUCUAAGUUCGGUGUGAAAUCUCCCGGCUUAACUGGGAGGGUGCGCCGGAAACUGGAGUGCUCGAGCGUGGGAGAGGAAAGCGGAAUUCCUGGUGUAGCGGUGAAAUGCGUAGAUAUCAGGAGGAACACCUGCGGUGUAGACGGCUUUCUGGACCAUAACUGACGCUGAUGCACGAAAGCUAGGGGAGCAAACAGG
rnacentral:rRNA from 1 species